rnacentral:sRNA from 2 species
CCCUCCGAGUCGUCAUCUGGGGCAGGAGCGGGGGACCCACCUCCAUCGGCCGGCACCGACCCGCGGUGCUGGUCUCGGGGUCAAGUCCGAUGUGCGUGAAGGCCACGCCUCGGACCGGGCAGCCCAGCCCGAACCCGACAGCUCACUUCGCAGGCGUACGGGAAGGAAUA